UACCACUACCGUGUUGUCAUUACAUUUGUAGAUAAUGGACGAGCCGUUGGUGCUGGGCUCACGUGAGCCUGGUGCUUUCAGAGCCGGCAGAGCCUCCCCGUGGGCUGGCCGGCCAGACCCGCGUCCAGCAAACACUUCCUCGCGGCCGCUGCGCCUGCGUUUACUCCUCAGCCUCCAUCCCGCCUGUGGUGUCGGCUCUGCCCUGUCACUUGCUUUGGCCAGUGGAACUUGGAAGGAAGAGAGCGUGUGCCAGCGCAGAGCCCAGCCCCCGAUGGGCAUUGCAUGUUUCUCCUUGCCCCUCAGGGAGCCUCUGUCACCUGCCAGGGGAUGGCGCCCCGGGGGCUGCUCUGCAGGAGGCGGCUCGUGCGCAGCCUCAAUGUGACCUUGGCCCGGAGCAGAGCCUCCCAGCUGUGCCUCGUCUGGUUGGCGGGAGGCAAUGCCUGUUGCUGUACCCCGCUGAGAUCGGGUGGUUGUUUGAUACACAGAAAACCUGGCGGGUGCACCCGGGAGCUCCACAGGAGCAGGCUAGGAACAGCGCUUAUCGGGCCGCGUAAGGCUCGUGAGGAGCCGAUAGGAUGGUCAGUCCCACACGUGCCAAGUCCCGACCUGUGCGUGGCAUCUGCAUCUUCCAGGUCAUCGUCAUGCUCUGAGUUCCUCCUGGGGGACCCUCCUGCCUUCCUGCGGGUGGGGGCUCCUGGGGGAGGGGCAUCAGAGCCUGGCCCACCCCCAGGAGGGCCUGGGCUGGGGUUCAGGGCUGCAACCACAUCCUGGCUCCCUGGAGAGACUGCCUUUCUCCAGAUCAUUUCGGCGUCUGGUCUCCUUGUGACCCUGGGAGAAGCGGAGUUAGGGUUGGGGUUAGGGUUAGGGUUAGGGUUAGGUUAGGGUUAGGGGUAGGUUAGGGUUAGGUUAGGUUGAGUUAGGGUUAGGGUUUAGGGUUAGGGGUUAGGGUUAGGGUUAGGGUUACGGUUCGGGUUAGGGUUUAGGGUUGGGGUUGGGGUUGGCUUUGGGGUUAGAGACAGAAGGCCCACUUCUGGCCUUGCUCACCCCGUCCUUUGCUCAUGGACUCACCCAUGUUUUCUGAGCUCCUACGUGGCUCCGGCACUCGACUAGGGACCCACGAGGUCAGAGCGCUCAUUUUCCUGCCGUUCUGAUGACCUCACGGGGGUUUGCCCAGACCCGGUACCACGGGAGGUGUGGUGGGGAACGAGGCCAAGACACCCCACAGCUCUCCAGGGAAGAGCGGAUGCUUUCAGCCGGCAGUGCCGGGGCAGCUUCGUGCACGCGGUGCCAAGUGUACUUGAAAAAGCUUGAGUCAUUUGUUCAUCAGUCAAAACACCAUCUCUUUACCAUCGACCAUGUGCCGGGCACUGGGCUGGACCCAGGGACUCAGUGGUCAACUAGAAAGCUGUGCCCUCACUGUGUGGGCUGCAGGGCUUCAUGGCCGCCGAGUAGGGACAGGGACACAGAGGGACAGGAUGCUUCAGAAAAAAGAAAAACCGUAGACAAGAUGUAUUUUUAAGAUAGGAUUUGGGGCAACACUGGAAAUAAAGAAUGGUUAGAUCUGAAUGGCGCAGCAUUGCAAUGUAAGAAAGCCCCAGAGCGAUUUGUCCUUAUCACCUCUCGAAGCCUGCUAGGAACCGUGGUACAAUGCGACAGAAAAAGCUGCCACUUAGCGAGAACAGCGUUAGUCACAUUUCACCCGAGACCCUUGACUAGGAGGAAAGCUCUGAAUGGGUCUCUGCAUUACAGUGAGAGAUCAGUGAACCGCGAGUUUCCAGUAGUGCUGAGAUGCCAGAUGGGCAGGUGCCGAGCCUGCGUAGUGACGGCCCAGGGGGACGAGAGACACACCCUUUUGGAGAAGAGCACCAGACUCCGGAAAACCCAAACGUGCACGAAGGGUCUGGGCGUGAACAGUCUAACUGAUGUCAUGUCCAGAGUGAGGCUCUCUGGGGGGCAGAGCCUGAAUCACCCACUCCCAGGGCACAGCUGGUCUCUGUCCUGGCUACAAGUCAGUGGACCAGCCACCCAGGACCUGCGUUCCUGGCCAGACUGAGAAACUACGUCCCUUUUUCCUUUCGGUCCCGAGCCUUGGAAGGGAGAGAAAUUAGUCCUCUUGUAAGGUUACUGUAAUGCUGACAAGAUUUAGACGACAAGCAGUGUGUUAAAACCAUGCUGUUACUCUUUCGACUGGGACUGAGUGAAUGCAGUUAUAACUUGUAUAAUCAUCUCGUUUAUGGAUGUGUUUCUGCUAUUUAUGUGCUUGAAGGCUUCAAAAUAGUCUGUCAUAUUUUAUUUGUACAUAUGGUUUAAAUCAUUUAAGGGAACUGAAUUAAUUUAACUUGUAAAUGUUGCUUAAGAACAAUUAUUACCUACAUUUUGUUUAUCAAGCCCAUUGAGAAUUACAUGGCAAAGAGUCUGAGCGCCCUUCUAGCUCCAAACCCCCUGCAGAUGUUAGGGUCCCGAAGCACAUGGGUUUUCUUUUGUUUCAUGAUGAUGAAUUAACUAAAUUUCCUAAUACUGAGCAGAUUAUUCCUUUGUUAAUUCGGCCAGUUGUAAAGACUCUGUCCUUUAUGCAUGUCUUGUUAUCAAGGGGCUGUGUUGAGGCCACUGAUUCUUAAAUAUAGUCAGCAGCAUCUGUGUCAUCUGGGAACUUGUCAGAAAUGCAGGUUUUUGGAAGCCUCCCCAGCUCACCUGCCCACAGACCUCUUGAAUCAGAAACUCUGAGCUGGGCCCGGCCGUCUGUGGUUCAGCCAGCCUUCUAGGGGAUCCUGAUGCUCCCUGGAGCCUGGGAACCACGGCUGUUGGUUUUCUCUUUCUUCUUGGGUCAGUUUUAUGAUUUGUCUUUGCCUAGACAUUGUCCAUUAAAUCUAAGUUCUCAAAUAGAUUGUCAUGGGGCUGUGAACAUAUUUAUUUAGGAUUUUUAGGAGUUCCUGUUGCGGCUCAGUAGGUUAAGAAGCAUGAGGAUGCUCGUUGGAUCCCUGCCUCGCUCAGUGGGUUAAGGAUCCCGCAGCCCCUCCGCGCUGUGCUUGUCCACCUGGCUGGGAAGAAUGGGAAACAGCGACUCUGACCCAGCCUAUGGGCACAGUGCCCUCCAAGAAGCAAAACGGAUGCGUCUCCACCUCGCGGCACCUUAUUUAUGAAACACUGUAACGACUGCAUGUAUGUGCUUUUGCUGCCUGCAGGAGGGCAACACGGGGCUAUUUGCAGCGAGUUCCAUUGUGAACAUUCACUGCAGCGGGGCUGGGAUGUGCUGCUCACAUUAGCCUCUUCAUUGGGGGCCCUCUGGGGCACCCACUUUGCCCCUUGGCGGCCCUGAGGCUUCCCUGAGUUCCUGCAGGACUAACGGUCUGCUUUUGUGGGAACCGUGGGCCUCCGGGCUUCCUGGCGACACCCGCGGUGCUCCUGGCCCUCCCACCGUCUGGCUGGGGAUUUGCGAAGAGUGUGACUCCGAGUGUGACGUCUUCUUCCUUCUCUCUGCUGUUGGAACAACCCACCUCACCCUUUCUGUGCAUCCCUCCAGUGGGUGUCCGAGGGCCUCUCUGUACCAGGUGCUGGGCAAGGUGCUGGGUCUGCAGGGCGCACAUCGGAUCUGGUCCGUCAGGGGGAGAGCUGAGGGGAUGCUCUCUGAAGCCCCUCAAUCUCCAUCGGACCGCUUGGGGCCGGCGGGGCUGGUGCUCUGGGCCGAGUGAGUUCACGGUGCUGGUCGUCCGGGCGUCACGUGCCUGGGAUGCUCUUGGGCCUGAGGAGGGGCUGCCCCUCUCAGGCAUUUUAGGGGAAAACCUGGCUGGUGCGCUGGCGAAGCGCCUCCUCGGAUGUGCAUGACAAGCAGUGGCCACUGAAGGGGACCCCAGGCUUUCAGGAAGGCGUCCAAGCUGGGGGUGCGGGUCGCUCCGGCAGGUCCAGUCGCCCGUGCCCAGCCGGCACUGACCAGGGGUGGACCCCGGGGGGACCUGGUGGACUUCGAUGACUUGUGAAAACACCACCACAGGUGGGAAGGGGUAAACGUGGAUGGCUUACUUGUCAUUUUCAAGCCAUGAAGAUGUUAUCUCCGAGUUCACUUGAUUGUUGUGGUUGAAUGAAGACACUUAGGGAGGCAAAUUCAAUCGGGUUCGUUUGGGGGAAGGGGGCGUGUGAGGUCUGGGGGCUCAUUUAUUCAUCAUAUUGUGCUUUAGAGCAGACCCCAUGUUCACUGAGUGCGGGGGGGCAGGUGCGCUGUGCAGCCUGGAGACCUGCUCAGACACUUUAAAGUGUGAUGUGCUUUGGGAAUUCCCAACGGCGUAAAACAUCUUUGCACCUUUUUCUAAACAGAAUUCUUCCUCGGAGGGCACCAUUCGGGGGUGGGGUGGAUGCAGCCACAGAAGCUGCUGGAGCGAGUGUGAUCGAGGCCCUGGCCUUGGGGACUGAACACGGCUCUGCCCUCCUGUUUGCAGCAAAGUCAGUUUCACUGUCACACGGUGCAUGGAGGAGGCAGAGGGGUGGGUGGCUGAAGCCCACCUGAGUUCCUCCAGCAUCGUCUUGAGAGCGAGGCUGGCCUUUGCACCCCUGCUGGUCCAGAGCAAAGGGCUCCCUCCUCCCAGGCUGUGCCAGCAUUGGGGGAUGGUCUGUGCUCUUCUUACUCAGUUAGGUGGACGCUUGCCUCUGCUCCUGGCAGGGCUCACACAACCUUCCAGCCUUCAAGGAACAAAUCCAGGCCAGAGCUGCGUGCUUCUUCCUCUCUCAGCCCCCAAAUUUCAAAAUAAAAAGUCUGCUGAGGAAAUUCUCGUGGUGGCACAGUGGGUUAAGGAUCUGGUGUUGCCACAGCUGUGGUGUAGGUCACAGCUGCAGCUUAGAUUCAGUCCCUGGCCUGGGAACCUCUGUGUGCCCUGGGUGUAGCUGUAAAAAAAAAAAAAA
rnacentral:lncRNA from 1 species